rnacentral:rRNA from 1 species
AAAUUGAAGAGUUUAGAUCAUGGCUCAGAUUGAACGCUGGCGGCAGGCCUAACACAUGCAAGUCGAACGGUAACAGGAAGCAGCUUGC